UCCUCCUCGUAACAACUAUGCUAAAUUAUUUCCACUGGGGCUCAGUGAAACCAAGGGACUAACAGCCAGUAGUAUGGGUAGGAGUGUUAGACACCCUGAAAUCCUGCCAUUAUUAUAGCUUCCUUGGUCGUCUCUUUUUCUUCUUUUUGACAUUGGUUAUAUUUGUUUUCUCAUGUCAGCCAUUGUGGCCCCUGUGGAUUCAUGCAGGGAUGGGCCCAGAAGCAGCAAGCAGAUUUAGUUUUAAGGAAAAGAAUUAGUGCCAUGGGCAUACCAUGACCUUAUGCCAAUCCCUGCCUUCAGUGUACUUUUAGCAAAGAUCUGUGCAUACUUCUUCAGGUUGCCAGUGGAAAGCACAAGAAUGCAUCUGGAAGUAGUAAGAUUGACAAGCAUAGGGUCUGGGGGGUGUUUCUGUGUGAGGGGGGAAGUGAGGCUGGAGGGGCCCUGUGAGGUGAAAACAGUGCUCUAAGUGGAGGCACGCCUUUCCUGGGAUCUGGCCCUUUUACCCACCCACCUCGCUUAAGCCUUCUGAUCCCCGAUUUCUUCAGUUACCACAUAAAAAUAACUAUACCUUAUAAAGUUGCACAGAGUAAUUACCACCUAUUUUGUGUACUUACACACUGACACACUCAGUUACCUUUUGUUGGAUGGGAGGGAGGGAGGGAGAGAGAGAGGAAAAAGGGAAAGGAGGGUGGGAAGGAAGAAAGGUAGGCCAAGAUUGUCUUUCACAGUUCAUUUCAGUGCUUCUGUGAUUUUGAGCAGCUGACAUCCUUUCCCUCUCCCCUCAUUUCCCCUUCUUAAACCCUUACCUUGGGACUGUAGUAAUUUUUAAAUAGAACAUUUGUGGUGGUUGCAUGAGGUAAGCUUGUGGGCAGGGUAUUAGCAAAUCUCUGCACUUCUGAACGAUCACCUCUGUGUAUGGCACUUGAGUUCGAUGUGCAGUUCGAGGCCGGGCUGACCCCACAAGCUUGGUGAUCUCAUCACAGACCUUUUCUGGAUAAAACACAGAGUGAUUUGAGUCUGGCGUGGGAGGGGAUAUUGGAACCAUCUUCUCACAUUUCUUUCCUUGUGAAAAUCAAACCCAGGUGCUCUCCGAGUUCUGCCUGACUCAUCUUUUCUCUGCACUGCUUCCACUCGAGGGCUCUAUUCCCAAGGUUCCUCUGGGGACCGGCCUGGAGUGACACCUGCAGACCAUCUCAGGAAGCUUAGGAAGUGAAAUCUAAUUUCUUACGUCAAAAAGAAACUAAAGUGUACCUACGAAGACGUGAAGUUGAAGAGGGAAGAUACAGUUACCGCAAUCCUAGGACCUCCAAAGAGCUUCACAUUUUCAUCAAUCAAGGUUAAGUCUCAGGAAUUGAGUGCCUUGUUAAUCAAACCAUUUUCCAAGCAACACUGACACAAUGCCAUUAACAACAGAAGCAUCCAUUACUGUUUUGCCUAUAAGGGAAUUCAUUAAUCAGAGUAGGAAAACACAUACACAGUAUUAAACCAGUUCUGGGCUGAUUGUGACAAACUGUCAAGAAAAGAUUUUAUAGAGGAACAAAAUUAUUGGUGACCAUGCCUUCUAAGAAGUGACACUUGAAUGGACCUUUAAAAUUUUCCAGAAUUUGAUUAAAAUAUUGACACAAGCCAGAGACAAAAAGUGUCCCAAAUUUCUAGAAGGAAUAAAAGAAGGUAGAUCCUGGAAGCUGAAGAUCAGGGAUCUUGAAUGAACUGUUGUUACUCAAUGCUGAUUUUAAGAGAUGUUAGUGGGAAUUCCAAGAAAAAAAUGUUCCAAGGACUAGUAAGUGUGAAAACUGAAUUAAAUAAAAUUAAACAGGUUUUUGGUGUUUUUCUCAGAGGCUUUAAUAUCCUAAUAGGCACACCAUGAACCAAAAGAGAGGCCUGUAAUAUGAGCAUUUCUCAAAUUCACUUCACUGACACUGCUUUUUUGCAUAGAACAUCUACUAAUGUCUCAAAGAACAAGAUUUUGGAGAACAAUAGUGUGAGAAAUGCCUUUUCAAAAAGUUGUUGAAACAUUAAAAUAGCUUAGUAGUAUUUACUAGAUGCCAAUAUUAGUCUACUAAAAAUAAUUAAAGUAAAGAUGAAACCAUUCCCAUUUUUAGAGUUAUUAAAGUACCAUUAAAAAGUUAAUCUAAUGAUUUAAAGGGUUAUUUAAAAAAAUUUUUAAUGUUUAUUUUUGAGAGAAAGAGAGACAGAAAGUGAGUGGGGGACGGGAAGAGAGAGAGGGAAACACAUAAUCUGAAGCAGGCUCCAGUCUCUGAGCUUUCAGCACAGAGCCCGAUGCAGGGCUGGAACCCAUGAAUGGUGAUAUUACAACCUGAGCCAAAGUUGGACACUUAACUGACUGAGCCACUCAAGCACUCCUAAAGGGUUAUUAAAUUAGUGGAAUGACAUAAAAGUACAAUAUUUGGAUUUCAUCAAGGCAUUUAGCCAAGGCACAAGAUACAACAACUUUAUCUAGGUGAAAAUAUGGUUCAGUAUAUUUAUAACACUAGUGUUAUUGUUUACAUUCUUUUUAAGAAAAUGAUUAUCUAUUUUUGAGAGCAGGGAGUGGCAGAGAGUGGAAGACAGAGAAUCUCAAGAAGGCCCCGUGCUCGAGGAUAUACAUUCAGGAUUGUUGGCUACAGAACUUGUGGUCUUAACCCAACAGAGGUUUAAGCAAAGAAUGAGAUGAGGGCUUCUAAUCCUAGCUUUUUAAGGAAACUUGACUUUGGAAAAUAACAUUAGAAUUGCAACUUUUGUGCACUGUUGGUGGGAAUGUAAAUUGCUGCAGUCACUAUGGAAGACAGUAAGUCAGUUCCUCAAAAAAUUAAAAAUAGAAAUAUAUUAUGACUUGGGUAUUUACCCAGAGAAAAUGAAACACUAAUUUAAAGGUAUAUGCACCCCUAUGUUUAUUGCAGCAUUAUUUACAAUGGCCAAGAAAUGGGAGCAGCCCAAGUGUCCAUCAAUAGACAAAAGGAUAAGGAAGAGGUGGUAUAUCUAUACAAUGGAAUAUUACUCAGCCAUAAAAAAGAAUGAGAUCUUGCCAUUUGCAAUAACAUGGAAGGACCUAGAUGUUAUUAUGUUAAGUGAAAUAAAUUAGAGAAAAACAAAUACCACAUGAUUUCACUUAUAUGUGGAAUUUAAGAAACAAAACAAAUGAGUAAAGGAGAGAAAGAGAGAGAGAGAGAGAGAGAGAGAGAGAGAGAGAGAGAGGCAAACCAAGAAACAGACUCUUAAAUAUAGAGAACAAACUUGUAUUACCAGAAGGGAAGUAGCUGGGGGAUGGGUGAAAUAGAUAAAGGGGAUUAAGAGAUACAAACUUCUAGUCAUAAAUAAAUCACAGAGAUGAAAAGUACAGCAUAGGGGAUAUAGUCUAUAAUAUUGUAAUAAUGUUGUUUGGUGACAGAUGAUGUCUACAAAAAAAAACACCUGAAUUAAAAAAAAUAACAUUACGAUUGUAACAGGAAUUUCAGAAGGGUUCAAUAAUUUAGGAAGAUGAUAUAGUUAAAAUUAUUAUUAUAGGAAAAUAAAAAUUAAAAUAGGAAUUUGAGGCUGGGAGGACAGAGUUCCUCAGGUGUGAACCACUAUAUAUAAAGUGGAAAAAGUGGAUAUGGUAUGUUUCAAGCAAAGAAAAAAAAUUAGAAAGGUAAAUUUUAAGAAAAAAAUGUAGACAUAGGCUAGGGAGAAAUGUGGAAAAGACAUUUCAUAGAUGAAAUUAACACAGAACAAUAGUACAGAGGUCAAAGUGCGAAAAAAUGAAGGUAUAAAUAGUAAAGGGACGAGGUUGGUUAAUACAUAAGCAAAAAUAGGAAUGUUAAGAAACAAAUGGAGUUGGGUAUAUGGAAUUAGAUGAAGGAUUUAUUGAAAGAAGAUCUUGGGGUGCCUGGGUGGCUCAGUUGGUUAAGCAUCCAACUUCAGCUCAGGUCAUGAUCUCAUGGUUUGUGGGUCGAGCCCUGCGUUGGGCUCUGUGCUGGCAGCUCAGAGCCUGGAGCCUGCUUCGGAUUCUGUGUCUCCCUUUCUCUCUGUCCCUCUCUCAAAAGUAAAUAAACAUGAAAAAAAUAAAAGAAAGAAGAUCUCAUUCUUCUGGGGAAUUAACCUGUCAUGUGACCUUUGAGUAUCAGAGAAAGGGCCAUAAAAUAAUACCAAAAGAUCAGAAAACCAAGUCCUAUUGUUUUAGUUAAUAAUAUGUCAGUUGCUCUGAGUCACAUAUCUGUAAAACUGAGAUAAAAAUAUCAUCCCUACUUUCCUCUGAGGGUGGUUAUAAGGAAUAAGUGAUAUCCUUGCAAUCCUUUGUAAAAUACAAAGUACAAUACAAAUAAAAGAUGAUAUGAUGAUGAUGAUGAUGAUGAUGAUGAUGUUACACAUGGAGGCAAAGCAAUGAUUUUCUCUUCAUUAUAUCUCCCAGUUUGGUUUUCAAACUUAGAAUUUACAUAAUAUAGCAAAACUCAAUCAUCUGCCCUUUAGAACUUAAAAAUUGGAAUUUAUGGACUAAUGAAAACUAUGAAUAUUAUAUCUCCUUCCUUCCUUCCUUUCUUCCUACCUUCUCUCUUUUCUCCCUCCCUCCAUCCCUUCAUCCUCCCUUUCUACUAUCUAUUAUCAUCUAUCUAUCUAUCUACCUAUCUAUCUUAUUCCACAAUCAAGAACUGUAAAAUCUUUGAAGUGGAAAUUAGAGAAAUAUGAUCCAAUACUUGGUCUAGCUCUGUAAUUUUACAGACAAAGAAAUAGAGACUAAAUUCUUAUAUAAAUCCACACAGCUAAUGACAGAUAGUUCUGGGUCUCAACUGUUGAGACCAUACUCUUGAUUGUGUCUUUUGUACACUCUGUUUUGAAUAAAAAUUAAAAUUUUGUAGAGUAA